rnacentral:rRNA from 1 species
GGAAUAUUGCGCAAUGGGCGAAAGCCUGACGCAGCGACGCCGCGUGAGGGAUGAAGGUCUUCGGAUUGUAAACCUCUUUCAGCAGGGACGAAGCGAAAGUGACGGUACCUGAAGAAGAAGCACCGGCUAACUACGUGCCAGCAGCCGCGGUAAUACGUAGGGUGCAAGCGUUGUCCGGAUUUAUUGGGCGUAAAGAGCUCGUGGGCGGUUAGACACGUCGGAUGUGAAAACUGGGGGCUCAACCCCCAGCCUGCAUUCGAUACGGUCUGACUAGAGUGUGGUAGGGGUAACUGGAAUUCCUGGUGUAGCGGUGAAAUGCGCAGAUAUCAGGAGGAACACCGAUGGCGAAGGCAGGUUACUGGGCCACCACUGACGCUGAGGAGCGAAAGCGUGGGGAGCAAACAGGAUUAGAUACCCUGGUAGUCCACGCCGUAAACGGUGGGCGCUAGAUGUGGGGACCAUUCCAUGGUUUCUGCGUCGCAGCUAACGCAUUAAGCGCCCCGCCUGGGGAGUACGGUCGCAAGACUAAAACUCAAAGGAAUUGACGG